rnacentral:rRNA from 1 species
AUUGAACGCUGGCGGCAUGCCUUACACAUGCAAGUCGAACGGCAGCACGGGAGCUUGCUCCUGGUGGCGAGUGGCGAACGGGUGAGUAAUGCAUCGGAACGUGCCCUGAAGUGGGGGAUAACGUAGCGAAAGUUACGCUAAUACCGCAUAUUCUGUGAGCAGGAAAGCAGGGGAUCUUCGGACCUUGCGCUUUUGGAGCGGCCGAUGUCGGAUUAGCUAGUUGGUGGGGUAAAGGCCCACCAAGGCGACGAUCCGUAGCGGGUCUGAGAGGAUGAUCCGCCACACUGGAACUGAGACACGGUCCAGACUCCUACGGGAGGCAGCAGUGGGGAAUUUUGGACAAUGGGCGCAAGCCUGAUCCAGCCAUGCCGCGUGAGUGAAGAAGGCCUUCGGA